CGCCCCUGCGAGGAAGACCCUCCCCAGAGGCUCUGGUUAACCCGAAGCCUUGUGGCGGAGUGGGGGGGGUGGAGUUGGACCCCUGCCUCCCCUAGACUGCAAGGGGGGGCAUUUGCAAGGUUUCCCUGCCCUUCUGAGGGCGAGAACUGUAGACAGUCUCCUCCUGAGGGAAGAUUUGUCUUGAGAAGAUUACUGGGUCAUCCAUGGCAACCUGAGAGAAAUCCCACAAGGAGUGUGGCUCUGCUCUGUUCCAUUUUGCAGGAAGGCAUGAGGAAGAAAGAACAGAGACUCUGUCUUCAACUCCAGUUCCACAGUUCCAGCAUGGAUGUCUGCCCUACAUUGUCUCAUCUGUAGUGAAAACAGGUGAGAAGAAUUCACUCAUAUACCUUCUGGACUGCAAGGAGAACAAACCUAUCAAUUCUAAAGGAAAUCAACCCUGAGUG